rnacentral:lncRNA from 10 species
AUUAUUUUAAAUGUCUCUGGACUGCUUUUAAAAAGAACUUUGGGUCAUGCAUCUAAUUCCCUUCUAACUUCUAAAAUGGAAAGUAGUUUCCUAUGGUUGGCAUCUAUCAUAUGUAGUUAUAGACAGACCUACUCUGUGACACCAUAGAGUACUCACUCAUUUCUUCGUUUGUCAUUCAUUCAAAUAAUCACCAUUCAGCUCUUUGAAGUAUUUAUUCUCUACCAGUUUCUGGCAGUCCUUUUUGCAUUAGGAAAGAACAGAUCUGUUUUAUUUUCAGAUUUUAUUUUAAAAAUAUGUAUUUUCAAUGGUAUUGAUGCUACUCAGUAGUCAAUGUUAUCUAUGAGUUAGGGUUCGGAAGAGAGCUCAAGGGUGGGGAUAAAGAGUAACUGGGACAUAGACUGUUGGGCAUGGUGUCUCUGGAUGCUUGGUUGGUUAUGAUUGAUCCCGUUACCCAUGUGGUGAGCAUAGUAGUCAAAAGUUAGUUUUUCUUUUUUUCUUUUUUCUUUUUUUUUGAGAUGGAGUCUUGCUCUGUCGCCCAGGCUGGAGUGCAGUGGCACGAUUUCUG